rnacentral:rRNA from 1 species
UGGGGGAUAUUGCACAAUGGGCGAAAGCCUGAUGCAGCAACGCCGCGUGAGGGAAGACGGUCUUCGGAUUGUAAACCUUUAGCUUUGGGGAAGAAACAAAUGACGGUACCCAAAGGGGCAGCCACGGCUAACUACGUGCCAGCAGCAGCGGUACUACGGAGGUGGCAAGCGUUGUCCGGAAUUACUGGGAGUAAAGGGAGCGCAGGCGGGGAGACAAGUCAGCUGUGAAAACUAUGGGCUUAACCCAUAGAUUGCAGUUGAAACUGUUUUUCUUGAGUGGAGUAGAGGUAGGCGGAAUUCCGAGUGUAGCGGUGAAAUGCGGAGAUAUUCGGAGGAACACCAGUGGCGAAGGCGGCCUACUGGGCUCUAACUGACGCUGAGGCUCGAAAGUGUGGGGAGCAAACA